rnacentral:rRNA from 1 species
AACGAACGCUGGCGGCAUGCCUAACACAUGCAAGUCGAACGAGACCUUCGGGUCUAGUGGCGCACGGGUGCGUAACGCGUGGGAACCUGCCCUUAGGUUCGGAAUAACUCCCCGAAAGGGGUGCUAAUACCGGAUAAUGUCUUCGGACCAAAGAUUUAUCGCCUUUGGAUGGGCCCGCGUUGGAUUAGCUAGUUGGUAGGGUAAAAGCCUACCAAGGCGACGACCCAUAGCUGGUCUGAGAGGAUGAUCAGCCACACUGGGACUGAGACACGGCCCAGACUCCUACGGGAGGCAGCAGUGGGGAAUAUUGGACAGUGGGCGAAAGCCUGAUCCAGCAAUGCCGCGUGAGUGAUGAAGGCCUUAGGGUUGUAAAGCUCUUUUACCCGGGAUGAUAAUGACAGUACCGGGAGAAUAAGCUCCGGCUAACUCCGUG